rnacentral:tRNA from 1 species
GAGGAAGGAAAGAAAACAGUAAGUACUGCUAAUCCUUACGCACCUUGGUUAAAAUCCAAGGCUUCCUCA